rnacentral:rRNA from 1 species
AGAACGAACGCUGGCGGCAUGCCUAACACAUGCAAGUCGAACGUGAUCCGGGGCUUGCUCCGGUGAAAGUGGCGGACGGGUGAGUAACGCGUGGGAACCUGCCCAGUGGUCGGGGAUAACUGCGGGAAACUGCAGCUAAUACCCGGUAAGCCCUACGGGGGAAAGAUUUAUCGCCAUUGGAGGGGCCCGCGUCGGAUUAGGUAGUUGGUGGGGUAAAGGCCUACCAAGCCUUCGAUCCGUAGCUGGUCUGAGAGGAUGAUCAGCCACACUGGGACUGAGAUACGGCCCAGACUCCUACGGGAGGCAGCAGUGGGGAAUAUUGGACAAUGGGCGCAAGCCUGAUCCAGCAAUGCCGCGUGAGUGAAGAAGGCCUUAGGGUUGUAAAGCUCUUUCGGCGGGACGAUAAUGACGGUACCCGCAGAAGAAGCCCCGGCUAACUCCGCGCCAGCAGCCGC